UACACUUGAAGAGGAGGAUUCAGUAUCAAACUUUAUAACCCAGAUAUUGGUAACAUCAGUUUGUUAGUAUCAUGUUUCACUGAAAGAAAGAUGCACAUGUCGACUGAAAAAAAUUUUGCAGCAUGAGAAUGCCUUGUAUACCGUAUCUUCAAAGGCAAUCGUCUCCGAGUUCCUGCUACCGUUAACAAAGUACUGCAAACGGGGUGGCUCAAGAGAAAUAUAUCGUCUUACAGUUCCGGAGGUUAGAAGUUCAAGGUGUUGGCAGGGUUGGUUCCUUCUGAGAGCUGUGAGGACAAUCUGUUCCAUGCCUCUCUCCUAGCGUCAGGAGACCAUUGUCAGAGGUAACUGAUACUGUGGUCAUUGUCCUGUGUUCAAAACAUACAAACAGGGAGUUCCCUGGUGGUACAGUGGUUAAGAAUCCGCCUGCCAAUGCAGAGGACACAGGUUCGAUCCCUGGUCCGGGAAGAUCCCACAAGCUGCAGAGCAACUAAACCCGUGCUCCACAACUGUUGAGCCUGUGCUCUAGAGCCCACAAGCCACAACUACUGAGCCCAGCGCCACAACUACUGAAGUCUGCACACCUAUAGCCUGUGCUCUGCAACAAGAGGAGCCAGCACAAUGAGAAGCCCGUGCACCACAACGAAGAGUAGCCCCCGCUCGCCACAACUAGAGAAAGCCUGCAUGCAGCCACGAAGACCCAACACAGCCAAAAACGUAAAUAAAUAAAGAUAAAAUAUGUUAAAUAAAAAUUUAUUAAAAACACACACACGCACAGACACAAACAGGGUCCCUGUACUCAUCUCCCGCAUUUGGGGUCUGAGGACUGUCUACUACCUUAGAGGCAUCUGGAGUGUGGCUUUCAAAGGCAAAUUCAAAUCCAACAGAUGAUUAUAAUGUGUCUUAGAGUCUGAGAACCACCGUCUUCUGGACCUUGCACAGGAAUAGGGCCCAUUUCCCAUCUGGCAGGACUACGUAGUAAAGUUUGAGUUACUCAGGAAAAUGUCCUAAUAUGAGAUGUUAUACGCACAUCACUAACUUUAGUUAACUUUCAGAUAUCCCAUCAUUUCUCAAAAUCGGUUUUAUAGUUGUGGCAAUAAGAUUAACUUUAAAAAACAGUUCCCCGGAAAUAAAAAAUAAUAGUAACUGUUCAGCUCCAUGCUAUGGGUGUGAUUCAAUCCUUUCCUGGAAGCUAAUGAAGCUCUCAGCAAGGACCAUAACCAAGCUGGACACAGGGGAGCUUCCAGAAGUGGAGUCAUCCCAGGUGAAGGGACGGCCCUGGUCAUGUCAAUAAAGUGUUCUAAUUCCUGCUGGUUAUUGGACACUGCAGACAAUGGAAGGAGGAUGCUGGAUAAAGGAAUAAUCUUCUUGGUGUAAAAGUCCUCACUAAGCUCUUCAGAGAAUUUACUCCUGCAGGGCUAAGGAAAGGCCCAUUUCUUCCCUGGGAACUCGUGAAGAAAUUUCACGAAAUGCGGGCCCAGAAAGCCCCACCCCUCCUGUGUGUGAUGAGGGAGCAGGGCAGCUCUGCUACUGGUACCACCUUGAGUCAAUAGUGCCCCCCCCCUUUCCUGCCAGGCUUCCCUGUCUUUCAGUCCAAGCUAUCUUCAGAAAAGCGACCUUAAGAAGUCCCUUUGCUCUACGGUACUACAUCACAUGGUCUGCACAAAUAAAAUGCUUAGCUCUCUUUUUGUCCCCAAAAUGGCCAUUUGGGAACUUGGACAUUUAGGAAUUUACUUGAAGUGCCUAGGAUAGAGGUCAGUUUAGUUAAUUAGGAGAUUAGUUCUCUUAAUUCUGUUAGUCUGUUAACAAUAACUUAAAUUGUUAUUUUUUCUGUUUUCUGCACAUAACACCUCUUCAGUCUGCAUUUUGUGCUACAGCUUGAACUGUAUCAAGUUCAACUCUCACUGCUUAUUAGAGUCAUUUAGGGAGUUUUGAGGAAUUACAACACCCAGGCCACAUCAUGGGAGAGAGUUUGAUUCUAUGUAAGGUAGGGCCUGAGCAUCGUAUUUUUCAAAGCUUCCAGGUGCUUCAUAAAAUCUCUAACCUCAAAUCUUGAGAGAAUUUAAUCUCUAUAAAUUUUAUCUCUAUAAAGCCCAAUACACGUAACAACUGUGAUGUUUUUGCGGUUAGCUUACAUUUGACUGAUUUGGGACUUUAGUCUAGAGCAAAUCUAUGUCCACAGAGCCAGUUGAAGCUGUGAAACCUCCAUCUUGCCACAUAUGUUUAUGUCCAUUCACAAGCAAGGUUAAUAACUUUCGUGAGAGCUAGUGUCUGGCCCUGUGUUGAACGGGAGACACUUGCAUUUAUCAGCUGCAAUCACUUAACCGCUGCACCUUUACCAUGAAAGCUGAGGGGGCAGGAGUGGGAGAGCAGGAACCCAAAGUCAUCAUUUCUGACAUCCAUUUAAAGCCAAAGUCAUAGAGGAAAGUAAUUGGAUUGAAUGGAAAUAGAGUUUUAGAAUGAAAGUACAUGAUUUGAUUUACCUAAUUCAGUUAAACUUAUACUUUAGAUCAUCUCAUUUAAAUUGCCUGUGUUUCCAUUUAUACUUUGAAUCCCUGGCGUUUACUCAGAAGGCAAAGUUUUCCUAACGUAAAGUAAUGAAGGUCUGUUCACCUCUCCUUCAAGGUCGUCACAGUCAGCCAGGGCCAACUGACACAGGUCCUUCCAAAGACAAUCUCUUUCACUGCUGUGUUGUCUGAGUCAUAGAAUGUAAGCUCCUGAAGGGACUUGAAAAUUUCUAGCGCUGCCCUGGUCUCUCUCUAGCUUCACAUUCUCAGCCUCUGGGAGUUUUGGUAGCUAUGGGAGCCAGCAUUACCUGUGCAGCAGGAUACAGCUUCUCAAGAGCACGCAUCACUGCCGAGGGCAAAAGCCAUGGGGACUUUGACAACACAUCAGAUGGGAACUAAAUGUUCAUUUCCAGAAUGAAAACCAGUCUUGCAGUCCAACAAGAUACUUUAUCCCAAACACAAAAACCAGACAAAUGGAACCAACUAGUUAGAGCUCGUGAUUAGCUAGGUUGAUGACAUGGUGAAUUCCUCCUGACCUGCACCGGAACAUCCCUUGGCCUUAGUGUUUCCCUUGAAAGAAGGAAGCAUGUCAGAGCAGCCUGAGCUGGUGAGCUAAUGCCUCAUCGGGAAGGGAGAGUCCCCAUUGUGGCUGGUGGAGGCCCCAGGAGAGGAUGAAGUAGGCAGCAGUCCUCCUCAUAAUUUCUCACUCAUUUGCUCUCAGUAAAGCAGGAAUGACUGAAGUCACCAAACAAUGCAUUUCACGAUAAGAUAGAUAAUAACGACACAAUCCUACUGCAGGAGGGAAUCAGGCUUUCUUGCUUCUCAGCACGCUCACUCCCAGGGGAAGUCUGAAACUACUGUCUUCAAGCCCUCUGUUUCCCUCAUUCCUCGUAUUCCUUUGAGAUUGUCAGAAAAUCUGUGCUGUGUAGUUAAUAAUAAAUAGAUAUAUUGUUACCUUUCACUAAGAGCAAUAUUAUUUGGGGACAUAUUUUUGUAUCAAUUUAAACACACACAUGUCACCAUUUAUACUUCGUAGUAAUGGUCUGCUUUCUCCACUUUUGUUAUUCUUCUCCAAUAAAUUGUGUCCCUAUAAUGAAGCAUUAAAUUAUGAUUAUUUAUUCACUCAGCAUAACAGGCAAGGCAGCAAUAUAGAGAGCAAUCAACUCAAUAGGUGUUUAUUGGGUAAUGGCUUCAUUUAAAGCACCGAGCCCAGUUACUGGGGUGAGUACGAAAAUGUUCAAGACGUAAAUCCUCUCCCGAGGGCUUCUAUUUUAGUAAAGGAGAUUAAGCCACAGAUACAAAUAAGUCAAAGUAGCAAGAGGCAAAUGUGAAAUACGAAGUGUUGUGAGCUUUCUGAGGACAGUCAGUUAAUGUCUGACUUGGGUCCAGAGUGAAGGGGUGGGUCAGGGAGUGUCCUCUGGAGGGGAUGCUUUUGGCGCUGGGUUCUGAAGGAGGUGAGGAAGAUUUGGACAAGUCCUGGGGAGUGGGUAGAGAUGGGGUGCCCCAGGUAGUAGGAAUAGCGGGGGCUAGGCACAGCCCAGGAAAAUACUGGGCAUUUUCCGGAGCCAUAGAUUAGCUGUUCAGUUGUGACAGAGAGCACACGUCUGAAGGUGGUGAGAAGUAAGUUCUGCUAGAGUGAGAUCCUGAGAGCACUUUGGUGUCAAGCUAAGGAGUUUGAACUUUACCAGUUUAGCUGCCCAGGUUCAGAGAGAAAUGGAUCUAAGUCUUUCCAGAGCAUGGAAUACCCUGGCAGCCUUGGCCCUCCCCAGCUUGCACCUGGUGUGUCUGUGGUGAGCUCCGAACACCUGGCUGUCCUGAGUCACAUCUGCACAGACAUCCACAUGACCAUCUGGGUCUGCAACUCUGCCCUCAACCUCAGUCCACUGGAAUGUGACCCUAGCAUCUGUCUACAUCUUCCUGGAGGGGAGGGGGACAUGCUCUUGUCACACUCUCCUGUGUCCAAAUCAGCUGCUGGCUAGGACUCUAGAGCAGGAGGUAGGUGGGGCAUUCAAAGCUAGUGUUUCUGGUUCUUUCCACUGCACCACAGCUGCCUCCCAUGAUUUACUUUCCUAAUGUCAUAUAAAUGUGUAAGCCUCUAAGAGCAGGAAGGGGAACGUUCAUCUUGCUAUAGUGCUUCUCCAAAUUUGCUUUUUGCUUUAGAGACAUUUAAAUAGCCAUAUCAGAAGAACUAUCAGUUGAAAGACACUUUCAAGGCAAUCAUUCAUGAAUACUUGUUUGAAUAAAUGAAUACACUGAAUGCUUCCUAUAUUAUAGACACUGUGCUAAACUAAAGAAUUAAUAAUAGCUUUUAGUAUCAGUGAAGCAAAAACAUGCUUAACAUCAAAACGUAGUCCCCAGCCUCUUGCCUAGCAAGAUGGCCCACACUCUAUGGAGUGUGUAUCUCCCUGAAUA